AUGCUAUAAUUGAGUCUAUGUUUGUGCUCCUGUUUUAGUUAGUACUUUUUUUGGGUUAGAUCGUCUCCACACUUCUGCACUAAUUUAUAUUUGAAGUCCUGUCCUCUGUUGCUUUAGAUUAUGACCUCAUUUGGAGAAAAGGGCUUUACAGAGGUGAAACUGAAAUUGGCUGUAUCAUCUGAAACUUCAUCUGUGAAGUCCCUGGUGGUUUCCUAGAUGACUACACAGUUGAGUUGCCUCUGAUUGGAAAAGCAGUGUUUUGGUUUUUCAGUUUGUACAAGAGGAAGAAGACGCAUGAUAUGUGUUUGGCUCAUGUGCCUGAAUAUGGCUCCACAGGGAAGACUUGAUACAGCUGAAGCUAUUGCUUUUUAGAGACUUUUUAUUUUGAGCAGCUGCCUUAACAGCCUUCGUCUUGUU
rnacentral:lncRNA from 10 species